AACAAGCAUCACAGUUCAAACAGUGAUAUCCUGCCAGAUCUCAAUAGCCUUCUGUCCCAGCCAGGAGCCCUGCAGAAUUCCCGUGCCCUCUUCCUCAUUCUGUCUCAGUCUAGGUCUCCAUGUGAGCUGAUGCUGGAACGUGUCGACUUUGCAAAUUUACAGUCAAGUCACCACAGCCAUGAAUUUGCAGUGUCUUCCUUCACUCCUCUUUUUCAGGGAAGCAGCCUUCACUGAGCAGAAGUUCUGUGUCAAGCCCUGGAUCAAGUGCUGAGAACAGAGAUCCGUCAUGCAUGGUUCCUGUUCUCAAGGAGCUCAGAGUCUGUCGGGAAACACAUGUUGCCGCACAGGGUGAUUCACGCUAAACUCGAGGUAAGCAAGGGUGCCAAGGGAGCACGGAGGAGGCCCCUAAGCCAACCUGGUGAUAGGUGCAGUGCAUCAGUCUGCACAGGAAACAGAUAGCCUCUCCUUUCGACAUCCACUGCUGCCACCGUGGCUCAGGCCUGCACCGCUUCACGCUUGGACAUCUGCAGUAGCUUGACGUUCACAACUCCACUAUUGCCCCCUCCAGCCCGGCCUCCACACUGUCUGUGAGCAGCAUUCAGAUUUCUAAAGAAAAGAGAACAUCCUUGGCCUGUGUGAAGAACAACCUGGGAGCUUCAGAGAUUUAAUGUUGCCAGAAGCAGCCCUGACCUCAAUGAUGGAUGGGGAGUUGGUGGAUGCCCCAGCUUCCUCACCUCUCUAUUGGGCUACCCUGAAUGUGUCCUAUACUGUCUCCCAGAGUUCUUCAGCAUAACUGAGCUUCGGGAGGCUACCAUAGUAACUAGCUUGAUUACGUAUAUGUUUUUGGCUUCCUCCACUCACCUGUCUCACUACCUUACUCCCACCCAGGUUUCCUGACAUCACAUCCUAAAUAAGUUACUUGCAUUCCGACACAAACCAAGACACAUGCUAAUUUUACUAUACCACACUGCUUAGCCAGAAGACCCCGCUAAAAUGUUUUUGUUGCCUGUAAAGAAUAACAUAUAAAUUAUUAGUAUCCUCUAAAAUACUGGCACAGAAUUAUCCAGCUAUCAUCAAUAAAAAAAAAAGAAGAAGAAAAGGACCUUAGAGACUGGAACACAGAAUGGGCUCUGCUAUAAACCAGCUGUGUGACCCUGGGCAAAACACUUGACCUCUCAAACAAAGAGUCUUUGUUCCCUUUCUGGGAAAUAGAGGCAACAUUACUCACUUGACUGGGUUUUUGUGAAGAGGAAAUAAGAUACGGUAUUAAAAAUGUCCCACCAAAUCUCCUAAAUGGUUUUCUCUCCGAGUCUAAAAGUCUUUUUCUCAGCCUUCAUUCUCUUUGGCUUCAGUUAAUUUAUUUUAUUAUAUCUCUAUAUGCUGUUGUUAGUCCUAAUACUGUUUUGUUCAUUAUCUUUUUCAUCUUCGUAUAGCUUGUAUUCUCACUUAUAUUGCUAACUUCAAAGGGCAGGGACUUUAUCUUAUGCUUGUUUAUAAUUAAAUGAAGUCAUAUAUUUGAAAAUGUU